GUUUGUCGUGCAACAUGGAAGAAAAGCUGUCAACUUCCUUUCUGAGUGUUUGCUCUCACUGGGAAGGAAGAGAACCUUGUGCUGGACACAGUUAGAGCCCAGGAACAUCUACAACCAUGAGCCAAAGUAAUUUUCCAGAAGAGGCUUAUGUCAGGUAUUCUGUCAUAGGAAUGAGACGUUCAAAUGACAUGGAAAACUGCUCUGGAGAAGGUGGACCUUCACUGUGACUAGAUUAUCUUGUGGAUCAGUAGCCCUGAGUGUUGGAAGUUGAGAAAAGCUUAGAGAAGAAAGGUAGAGAAAUCUUAGAUGGCUUUAUGGGUAAGGAACAUCCCUCGAUGGCCUCUGCAUCAGCUCCUGCUCCCUGACAUGCUUGAGUUCCAGUCCUGUCUUCCUUUGGUGAUGAACAGCAGUAUGGAAAUGCAAUCCUGGGAGCUUGGAAAUGUGUUACAGGGUCAUGGACCUCUCAAGCAAUCCCCGAGAGAAGGAGCUGUGGAGAUGAAGUCAAAGAGGCAAUGACGAAUGCAGGAAGUUGAAGAUGCCAGGAAUGUGAAAUGCAUGCCAAGGAAAGCCACAGUCAUUGAGCAGAGGUAGCCCAGGGGAGAAGCCAUGUGUUUUAUAGCCAGCAAUGUAUGAACAGGGCUAUCCAUUCCCUUGACAGUUCAUACCAUGUUACCACAUAUGCAGGAUUCCAGACACAAAGCAGCAGGAUUACAGAAGUGUUUGUUCUGCUGGGUCUCAAUCUUAUUGUGAUCCCAUCCAGCCUAUCUAUGUCCUCA
rnacentral:lncRNA from 1 species